rnacentral:lncRNA from 1 species
AAAGUAUCUCUAUAAUACAGUCUUCCAUAUCUAGGCAGAUCUUGUCAGAGACAGAUGGCCUAAGCCUGUAUUUAACAAUGAAUGAUUAAAAGCAAAGUAAAAGAGGCUAGAUACUAUUUAAUCCUUCUUCACAAAUAAGCAUCAAUAAAGCUAUGAGGUCAUUGAGUAUUUUUAUGCUUAUAACCUCAAAAGAAGUACACCUUAUUGCUUAUCCAUAGUUCCAUCAUCACUCUUGCAAAUCCCAUACAGGAAUUCAUUUUAUUAGACAUCGACACAAGGGGUCUUAUCCAGA